rnacentral:rRNA from 1 species
ACAGAGGGAGGUGGAAUUCCCGGUGUAGUGGUGAAAUGCGUAGAUAUCGGGAGGAACACCAGUGGCGAAGGCGGCCUCCUGGGUCGCCCCUGACGCUCAGACGCGAAAGCUAGGGGAGCAAACGGGAUUAGAUACCCCGGUAGUCCUAGCUGUAAACGAUGUGGACUUGGCGUUGGUGGGGUCAAAUCCAUCAGUGCCGGAGCUAACGCGAUAAGUCCACCGCCUGGGGACUACGGUCGCAAGGCAAAACUCAAAGGAAUU